GUGUAAACAGAUUUAGGUCCCCACAACAGUGGUAAAUACCUGGAACACACACACACACACACACACACCCAUAAGGCAGAGUGAAGGGGGAACCAAGCACAUGUUGCUGUGUGAAUGGAAUACCAACCAGGCUUGGAGCGUAAAUACGCAGCACUGUGGAGUUAUUUUGGACGUGCACUCGGACUUGUAUGGAGUUUAUUUAAAUAUAUACACUUCCCGUGUACUUGUGUGUACAGUUGUGCAGCUGGACACUCACCUGGAUGUCCCUCUCCCACGGACUCCGACGUGAACAUGAAAGAGCCAUCGUCCAGAACAUCACUUAUGUCAGUCAUGUUUCUUGUUUUUGUUUGCUUUUUUUUUUGGUUUUCUUUUACAGGAUCAGGUGUUUGACAAGACUGUG